UGCGCAUGGAAGGGUGAUUGGUAUGUUCCGGUUGGUUGGUUCCCUGCCCUGGCAGCGACAAUCGCUGGUUCGCACCUGUUCAAUUUUGUUCAAGUGUAAACCUUUUACCUUGGAUUGGCUUGGCCCCCUGUGCAGCAUACCUAUUUUGACGGAAUUCUCUAGUCCCAUGAUCCCUUUUCUAUCUCGUGCCAAAAUGUAUUGUGCGAUCUAGACCCUGAAUCUCCCAUGCACGUCCGCCCUUGGCUUGCUUAUUUAGCUAGCAGGCAUUGGACGCCCAUGUGUAGCCCGAAGUCUUGUAUGUAGAAGCAAUGAUCGGUCGGGGAUUGUCCCUUUUUGCCUGAAUCAAUUGUCCCUUACGGAAGCCUGACGUGCCCUGUGUUGACUCGAGGACAUUAAUCGUCCUCUUGCUCAUGCGGUGCCGGCAGCAAAAAGGAAUGCUACCUGGUUGAUCCUGCCAGUAGUCAUAUGCUUGUCUCAAAGAUUAAGCCAUGCUGGGUGUUUAAGUA
rnacentral:misc_RNA from 1 species